UAAAGAACUUAUUUGAAUUAUGGACCAUUUUGAGUCGGCUAUCAGACUUUUCAAAAUUUCGAUUUGACUAAAUAAACUUUCAAUUUGUUUGAUUUGAGUCAUCAGUCAAUGAUAUUUCGGCUAUAGAUUUAAAUAACUUACUUUAAUAAAUUUAUAUAUAGUUGCAAAUAUUAUAUAUAUAAAGUAUACUAGCUAAAUCUAUAAAAGUAAACGACAGAUUCAAAUUUUUAAAUAAAAGUGCUGCUGACCGGUUUGAAUUAAACAAACUGAAAGAUUGAAUAGCUAAAUUAAAAUUUCAAGAGAUUGAAUAGUCAACUUAUAAUAAUCUAUAAUUUAGAUAAAUUUUAUAUAUUCUUUCUAUA
rnacentral:lncRNA from 1 species